rnacentral:rRNA from 1 species
UACAUGGGGUGCAAACGUUGCUCGGAAUCAUUGGGCGUAAAGCGCUCGUAGGCGGUUACUUAAGUCGAAUGUGAAAGCCCUCGGCUUAACCGAGGAAGUGCAUCCGAAACUGAGUAGCUAGAGUACGAAAGAGGGUCGCGGAAUUCCCGGUGUAGAGGUGAAAUUCGUAGAUAUCGGGAGGAACACCGGUGGCGAAGGCGGCGACCUGGGUCGAGACUGACGCUGAGACGCGAAAGCGUGGGGAGCAAACAGG